UGGGGAAUUUUGGACAAUGGACGCAAGUCUGAUCCAGCCAUGCCGCGUGCGGGAAGAAGGCCUUCGGGUUGUAAACCGCUUUUGUCAGGGAAGAAACGAGUUUCUCUAAUACAGAGACUUAAUUACGGUACCUGAAGAUUAAGCACCGGCUAACUACGUGCCAGCAGCCGCGGUAAUACGUAGGGUGCAAGCGUUAAUCGGAAUUACUGGGCGUAAAGCGUGCGCAGGCGGUUAUGCAAGACAGAGGUGAAAGGCCCGGGCUCAACCUGAGAAAUGCCUUUGUGACUGCAUAGAUAGAGUACAGUAGAGGGGGAUGGAAGUCCGAGUGUAGCAGUGAAAUGCGUAGAUAUGCGGCAGAACACAGAUGGCGAAGGCAAUCCCCUGGACCUGUACUGACGCUCAUGCACGAAAGCGUGGGGAGCAAACA
rnacentral:rRNA from 1 species